UGGGGAAUUUUGGGCAAUGGGCGCAAGCCUGAUCCAGCCAUGCCGCGUGCAGGAUGAAGGCCUUCGGGUUGUAAACUGCUUUUGUACGGAACGAAAAGACUCUGGUUAAUACCUGGGGUCCAUGACGGUACCGUAAGAAUAAGCACCGGCUAACUACGUGCCAGCAGCCGCGGUAAUACGUAGGGUGCGAGCGUUAAUCGGAAUUACUGGGCGUAAAGCGUGCGCAGGCGGUUAUAUAAGACAGAUGUGAAAUCCCCGGGCUCAACCUGGGAACUGCAUUUGUGACUGUAUAGCUAGAGUACGGCAGAGGGGGAUGGAAUUCCGCGUGUAGCAGUGAAAUGCGUAGAUAUGCGGAGGAACACCGAUGGCGAAGGCAGUCCCCUGGGCCUGUACUGACGCUCAUGCACGAAAGCGUGGGGAGCAAACAGGAUUAGAUACCCAAGUAGUCCCUGAGCGGGCUGGCAAGGCGCAU
rnacentral:rRNA from 1 species